UUUUCCAAUCUAGUCCUUAUCAUCCUCCUGAUCUGUCCACCCUCCAACAGUUAGUUCCUUGUACCAUUCCUCCUCCCCAGUCUCCAACAGGAUACUCACACUCCCCCAACUCCUACCCAACCAGACCUCCCCACUUCCCAGGGCCUCAUGAUUCUGGAGGGUUAGGUACAUCAUCUGUCACUGAGGCCAGACCCGACAUUCCUCUGCUGUAUGUGUGUCAGGGGCCUCAUAUCAUCUAGUGUGUGCUGACUGGUUGGUGGCUCAGUGUUUGAGAGAUCUCAAGGGUACAGAUUAGUUGAGACUGCUGGUCUUCCUAUGGGGUUGCCAAUGUUAAAAAAAAAACAAGUCUGGUCUAUAUGAUAUUAACUAAAUUUUUCAUAACUUAUAUCCUCUUCUACUUUUAUUUUUUUCCUUUAAGAUAAAGAAAAAGAGAAUAAUCUUACAUAAAUAAGAGACUCAUCUCUUGCAGAAAAGAUUUAAAAACUAUUGAAGAUCCUGAUAUUUAAAAAUCUAUUGAAGAUUCCUGAUAUUUAAAUUUAUUUUUCAUUUUAGUACUCUUCUUUUCAAGAAUUUCAUAUAAGACCACUUCAUCUACAUCCAUCCCAGUUAUUUUUAUCUGUGAUUUUCAAAGCCUCUAAGCCAUUUCAAUGAUAAAGAACUUUUAAAAAAUAUUUUUAUUAGGUAUUUUCCUCAUUUACAUUUCCAAUGCUAUCCCAAAAGUCCCCCAUACCCUCCCCCUCACUCCCCUACCCACCCACUCCCACUUUUUGGCGUUCCCCUGUACUGGGGCAUAUAAAGUUGGCAAGUCCAAUGGGCCUCUCUUUCCAGUAAUGGCCGACUAGGCUAUCUUUUGAUACAUAUGCAGCUAGAGUUAAGAGCUCCGGGUUACUGGUUAGUUCAUAAUGUUGUUCCUCCUAUAGGGUUGCAGAUCCCUUUAGCUCCUUGGGUACUUUCUCUAGCUCCUCCAUUGGGGGCCCUGUGAUUCAUCCAAUAGCUGACUGUGAGCAUCCACUUCUGUGUUUGCUAGGCCCCGGCAUAGUCUUACAAGAGACAGCUAUAUCUGGGUCCUUUCAGCAAAAUCUUGCUAGUGUAUGCAAUGGUGUCAGCGUUUAGAGGCUGAUUAUGGAAUAGAUCCCCGGAUAUGGCAGUCUCUAGAUGGUCCAACAUUUUAAAAGUUUGUUUGUUUAUUUAUUCAUUUUAUUUUAUUCCUCUCAUAUACAAUAUACUUUCAACAGAGCUUGAUAAAGAACCUUCAAUAGCUAAUGGGUUUAAUUAUUGUAUGAAAACAUAUAUUUUCUUGGACAACUCUCUUUCAUGUUUUAUCACCCCUUGGAUUUUAUUUCAAUUUCUGUAAGAGGAAAGUGUUAGUUUGAAUUCAAGUUUCAUUGUUUUAUUUGUCAAAAGUGUUAUUUACAUAUUUCCUAAAUCUUAAAAUGUUUUGGCAAAUUGUCACAGGUAGAAAAAAAUGGAUAUAGUUGUUAAAUAGGUUUUCUUUUUUUCUCUAUCAAUGUGAAAGUGUUUGUUAUUUAGUUGUACCUGGGAAUGAUCUCUAGAAAUCACUUCUUAUCUGAGUUUUGUUGCAUAUACCAUAGUUUUCCUAUCUGCGGUCUUGCUUUUGUGUUCUCUUUAUCUCUAUAUAAUAACCUUUAUCUCACUGAGUUGUCUCUGCUCAUAGUUGUAUAGAAUCUUGGGAAUAUAUUUUAAACCUUUCAUCAGUUUUGGUACCAUCUAAAUAUGAAUCUCUAUACAUAGAAAGCAUUAGGAAAACAUUCAUUAUACUACUUAUUUAUAGAUUUGGAAAGAAGUGUCAAGAGAUGUGCUUUAUUCAAUGCAAAGCCACGAUCAGAAACAUUUUUCUUUUAAAAAAUUCUUUGAGAUUAUACUUACAUUGUCCCUCCCCACUUCUCUUUCCUCCCUCUAAACUCUCAGCUACCCCUCCUAGUUCUCUUUCAAAUUCACAGUCAUUUUUAUUGAUUGACUGUUUUCACAUUGGUGUCUGCAUACAUAAAUGCAUCUAUAUGCCUGAUACAGAUAUACAACCUGCUCAUCUGGUGGAAUGCUAGUUGUGUAUAUAUUUUCUUUGCUGUGGGUCCAGCCGCAUCCAUUUUUAUUCUUAUUCAGCUCUGUUGUACCCCUUUAUAAGGACACUUAUGUACAACUUUGAUUUCUUAUAGAAUUGUAUUUUCAUCUCAUCUCUUCAAACAAUUAUCUAUAGACAUUCUAUAAGAGAGAGAUCCUAUUUGUUAAUCAUAAAAGUAUCAGCACUACUAUCAAACUUCCCAGGGCUUUAUGAGUGUGCUGAAGUCAACAUGCUGAAGUGGGUAGUUUUGUUCUAUGUGAUGUGCAAAACCGAAACCAAAGAAAAAGAUGACAUUUUUUUUUUAACUUUUCUCUUAGUAUAUUCUUAAAAGUUGUAAUCAAUAUGGAUUUGGGUACAAAACUCAACUACUCAAAUGCUUUGUUCCGUGAUUUUUACUGCUCAACAAUUCCUUUAGCCUUCUAAUUCCAUGGCACUUUCAAUGUACCACAAUCUUAUCUUACAUCCAACAGAAAGAUUAAAAAGUAAGGUCAUUACAUUCUUUAUACAUUUUGGUUGCUAUUCAGUGAAAAAUUUUCAAAUGAAUUUCUUUUGUAUAGAAUCAUACAAUAUAUUUUUUAAAGUAUUCAGUCAGAGAAGAUGCACUUAACCCCCAAGAGACUGGAGGUCCCAGGAGUUUAGAGGCCUGGUUAGGUAGGGGGGUGGGGAGGUAGGGACAUCCUUUUGGAGACAGGUGUCAGGGAGGAGGUAUGGGAUGGGAAACAGUCAGAGGGUGGACUGGGAAGGGAAUAAAAUCUGGAGUGUACAAAAGAAAAAAUAAAUAAAUUAAAAUUAAAAAAAGCAACAUAUGCAGUUGUGUUAUAAUUUCUUCUUCCCAGUGAGUGUUUCACAGGUUCAAUUCUCUAGUUGCAUAUGUAGCAGAAGAUGGCCUAGUCAGCCAUCAUUGGGUAGAGAGGCCCCUUGGUCUUGCAAACUUUAUAUGCCCCAGUACAGGGGAAUUUCAGGGCCAAGAAGUGGGAGUGGGUGGGUAGGGGAGCAGGGUGGCAGGAGGGUAUAGGGGACUUUUGGGCUAGCAUUUAAAAUGUAAAUGAAGAAAAUAUCUAAUAAAAAUUGAAAAAACAAAACAAAACAAAAAACCAACCAAACC
rnacentral:lncRNA from 1 species